rnacentral:snRNA from 1 species
UCUGGUUUCUCUUCAAAUUGUACAAAUCUUUCGCAUUUUGCUAGAGAUUUCUGUGGAGAGAAACGGUAUUGA